rnacentral:rRNA from 1 species
GGGGGUGCUUACACAUGCAGUCGAACGAUGAUGCCAGCUUGCUGGGUGGAUUAGUGGCGAACGGGUGAGUAACACGUGAGUAACCUGCCCCUGACUCUGGGAUAAGCGUUGGAAACGACGUCUAAUACUGGAUAUGAUCACUGGCCGCAUGGUCUGGUGGUGGAAAGAUUUUUUGGUUGGGGAUGGACUCGCGGCCUAUCAGCUUGUUGGUGAGGUAAUGGCUCACCAAGGCGACGACGGGUAGCCGGCCUGAGAGGGUGACCGGCCACACUGGGACUGAGACACGGCCCAGACUCCUACGGGAGGCAGCAGUGGGGAAUAUUUGCACAAUGGGCGAAAGCCUGAUGCAGCAACGCCGCGUGAGGGAUGACGGCCUUCGGGUUGUAAAACCCUCUUUUUAACGUUAAGGGGAAACAAAGCCGAACAGGUUGAACCGGUAACCCUGCAAAAAAAAAGGCACCCGGUAACCUACCUUGCCAAGCAGCCGCGGUAAUCACGUAGGGUGCCACAGCGUGGUCCGGAAUU